rnacentral:rRNA from 1 species
GACGAACGCUGGCGGCGUGCUUAACACAUGCAAGUCGAACGAAAAGAGGGAAAGAGCUUGCUCUUUCCGGAAUUGAGUGGCAAACGGGUGAGUAACACGUAAACAACCUGCCUUCAGGAUGGGGACAACAGACGGAAACGACUGCUAAUACCGAAUAAGUUCCAAGGGCCGCAUGGCCCAUGGAAGAAAAGGUGGCCUCUACCUGUAAGCUAUCGCCUGAAGAGGGGUUUGCGUCUGAUUAGCUGGUUGGAGGGGUAACGGCCCACCAAGGCGACGAUCAGUAGCCGGUCUGAGAGGAUGAACGGCCACGCUGGAACUGAGACACGGUCCAGACUCCUACGGGAGGCAGCAGUGGGGAAUCUUCCGCAAUGGGCGAAAGCCUGACGGAGCAACGCCGCGUGAGUGAUGACGGCCUUCGGGUUGUAAAACUCUGUGAUCCGGGACGAAAAGGCAGAGUGCGAAGAACAAACUGCAUUGACGGUACCGGAAAAGCAAGCCACGGCUAACUACGUG